rnacentral:rRNA from 1 species
GACGAACGCUGGCGGCGUGCCUAAUACAUGCCAGUAGAACGCUGAAGAGAGGAGCUUGCUCUUCUUGGAUGAGUUGCGAACGGGUGAGUAACGCGUAGGUAACCUGCCUGGUAGCGGGGGAUAACUAUUGGAAACGAUAGCUAAUACCGCAUAAAAUUGAUUAUUGCAUGAUAAUUAAUUGAAAGAUGCAACUGCAUCACUACCAGAUGGACCUGCGUUGUAUUAGCUAGUUGGUGAGGUAACGGCUCACCAAGGCGACGAUACAUAGCCGACCUGAGAGGGGGAUCGGCCACACUGGGAAAGAGACACGGCCCAGACUCCUACGGGAGGCAGCAGUAGGGAAUCUUCGGCAAUGGGGGGAACCCUGACCGAGCAACGCCGCGGGAGUGAAGAAGGGUUUCGGAUCGUAAAGCUCUGUUGUAAGAGAAGAACGGGUGUGAGAGUGGAAAGUUCACACUGUGACGGUAUCUUACCAGAAAGGGACGGCUAACUACGUG